GUUCUCACGUGGACGCGGCCAGUGGGUGGGAGGGGCCUUGGCCCUGAGAGGCAAUGACGUGUUGUAACCAGGGUCUGGCUGUGCUCAGAUGCCCCCACGCCCGCGCCCCCAGAGCACCCCCUGCAGAGCAGCACAGCCUGAGAGCUGGCCUGCAGGUGCAGAGCCACCCCACGGCCAGAUGGGCCUGGCUCAGCCAGGUGGGCUGGCCCCUGCCUCGCAGGUGGGCUGGCCCCUGCCUCGCAGGUGACGAACCUAAGGUGAGGUCCACUGUCGGCGGGCGCUGCAGCCCCAGCCAGCUCCAGGGCGCAGGCGAGGGAGUGGACCCAACUUGGCCUGCGGAAAGCAGAAGAGGGGAGCCGUGUGCCACCCAGCUUGCGGGGCUCCCACCAGGACUCUACCCCUGACCCCAGGGAGGUGCAGCCCUGGAGCCUGGACAGCCACUGGGCUGGAAGGGCUUCACCAGGAGCAGCCCAAGUUGGGCCACCAGACGUGCAUGCUGCACACACACGUGUGUGAACCUGGGUGUGCAGGUGGACUGAGAGCUGCCCUCUGCUAGUUCUGACUCGGGCAGCGCCAGGCUUGAAGGGCACCUUGUUCUGUGCCCGUGUCGUGGAGGAAACUAAGGCUCAGGCACGGGAGACCCAGCGCGCCAGCCAGCCUGUCAGACGAGCUGGGGUGUGACCCCAGGUCAGGUGCCCAAGGCCAACAUGGCCUGGCUGACCAACUGGACACGGGCCAGCUUCUGGCAGAAGGCAGAGGGCUUCUCAAGAUGGUUGGCAUGAACUCAGGGAGAGGUGACCCCAGGAGGGGGUGUCCGCCAGGGUGAAGGUGAACACAGGGGAGAGGUGACCUGGGGGAAGGUGACUACAGGGAAGAAGUGACCUGGAGGGAGAGGUGACCACCAAGAGCAGGGUGACCACAAGGGAAGGUGAACAUAGAGGUCACUAGAGGAAGAGGAGACCACAUGGGGCAAAUGGCCUUGGGGUAAAGAAGGUGAUUACGGGGGAAUUGGUCAUAGGGGGAGGUGACCACAGGGAUGAUGCCCUCCUUGCUCAGUGGGGGUGACCACCUGUGUCCUGGCCUGUAGGGAGGCCCUGGUGCUGUGCUCCUGGGACAGAUGCUGCCCCCAUGGGCAGUGGGCCUUGCCUUCCCAGGCCUGUAGCCCAGGUUCACUGACUCCAGUGGCCUGGAAUCCACAGUGCCUUGUCCCUCUGCCACCCAGCCACCACCAUGCCUAGGCAUCAGCCCCCCUGAGAUCUGGGCCCUGAGGCUGCUGUGACGCAGGCCAGCUGCUGGCCAGGCAGGGCUGUGCCGAGCUGUGCCUGAGCCUGCAGCUCAGGCCCUGGGCAGGGGAGCGGAGCAGCCUGUGCCCACGCCGCUUGAGUCUAGGCCUGGGUGGGACACGGCGAGGCCACGUGGUGGGGUCUGUCCAGGAGGACAAGGGCCAGGGCCUGCGCAGACGGAGGUGGGCAUCGCUGUGCAGAAACCAUAGGGCAGACCUCUCUGAGGCCGAGCAGCCCCUGCGCACCGGGCAGAGGGGCAGGCGCUCCUGUGGCCCUGGCUCUGCCAUCGCCAGCUCAGCCCUGCUCUGAGAGGCGCUGGAGGAGCCCCUCGCCUGCCCAGGCUCUGUGUGACAGCAGAGAUGUCACCGCAGAGGCUGCACCCUCCUCAGCCCGGGAACGCAGGCAUUUGCUGUCCUCUGCGUGACUUCUGGCCUCCAGGCUUGUCCAAGCACAGCUGGGACACCGUGUCCACCCCCGUUAAAGAACGUGGAAGUCACAUCUCCCCACUUCCCUCCUGAGGCCCUGAGCGGGGGAGGGUGUGGGUGGAGGGGAGGCACCUGGUGCCCUGGCAGGGCAGUGACUCGGGGGCCGUGACUCACCAGGGUCAGGUCUCCGGAGGCUGCCCCUCCCUGCCCCCAGCUCUGCUCAGAGACUGCAGAGUCAGCACUUCUGACCUUGGGUUGUGGCCACCAAGGAGCCCUCGAGACAAAGCCCCACUAGGUGUCGUGUCCAGCCUCAACCGAGGGCCAGUGCGGCUUUCUGGAGUGUGGCAAGCUCCUGGUUGGCCCAGUGCUCUGGGGAAGGCCCUGCAGCCCUCCGGGGCUCCCAGCUGGACCGUCCCACCCUGAGGAAACUGCCCUGGAAGCAGCUCCUUCCCAAUGCCCAGCUCCAUCUUUACCGGCUGCCCCAGAGAGUGGCCAGAGACUGGAGCAGGGCCCCGGGGACCAGGUGAGAUGAGGAGCCUUAGGGCAUCCUCCCGGUCGCUCGCUCGCUCGCUCGGUCGUGGCUGCUCCUGUGGUGUCUUCCAGAGGAAGGACCAAGACUGCUGCAGAUGGCUUGAGGGAGGGUGGCCUUCCCCGCUGCGCGGUUCGUCCCAUAGUGUCCCAUCACUCAACUCCAGUCCAAGCUCAGGGCCUGCAAGUCCACCUUGGGAACAGUGGCCUAGCAAAUUUGGGGCAGGUCACCACAGUCAUCUGAAGAAGGUUGUCCAGGGCUCGUUGGCAGAGGGCAGCACCUUGGCCAUCACCGGGAGUCCUGGAUCCCAGAGGCUGCAUUCUUGGUGAUGCCAUUAGCCAACCACCCCCUUGGCUCAUUUGAACUGCUGUUCCAGGUCUCCACAUCACAGAAGCCAAAGCCAGGGGUGAGAGCUCUGUG
rnacentral:lncRNA from 1 species